CCUCUACAAACGAAAGUUUUUUAGUAAAAAAUUAUUGAAAUGUUAGAUGUAGAAAAAUAUAAACGACUAUAACUUCCAAAACUCCCAAAGGAUUCGAAUGAAACUUUUUUAUACAACUAAUAAUAAAUAUCUAAAUCGAUUUUACAUGGUUGCAAAUCUCUACAAACGAAAGUUUUUUGGUAAAAAAUUAUUGAAAUGUUAGAUGUAGAAAAAUAUAAACGGCUAUAACUCCCAAAACUCCCAAAGGAUUUGAAUGAAACUUUUUUACGCAAUUAGUAAUAAAUAUUUAAAUCGAUUUUACAUGGUUGCAAAUCUCUACAAACGAAAGUUUUUUGGUAAAAAAUUAUUGAAAUGUUAGAUGUAGAAAAAUAUAAACGGCUAUAACUCCCAAAACUCCCAAAGGAUUUGAAUGAAACUUUUUUACGCAAUUAGCAAUAAAUAUUUAAAUCGAUUUUACAUGGUUGCAAAUCUCUACAAACGAAAGUUUUUUGGUAAAAAAUUAUUGAAGUGUUAGAUAUAAAAAAAUAUAAACGGCUAUAACUCCCAAAACUCCCAAAGGAUUUGAAUGAAACUUUUUUACGCAAUUAGCAAUAAAUAUUUAAAUCGAUUUUACAUGGUUGCAAAUCUCUACAAACGAAAGUUUUUUGGUAAAAAAUUAUUGAAGUGUUAGAUAUAAAAAAAUAUAAACGGCUAUAACUCCCAAAACUCCCAAAGGAUUUGAAUGAAACUUUUUUACGCAAUUAGCAAUAAAUAUUUAAAUCGAUUUUACAUGGUUACAAAUCUCUACAAACGAAAGUUUUUUGGCAAAAAAUUAUUGAAAUGUUAGAUGUAAAAAAAUAUAAACGGCUAUAACUCCCAAAACUCCCAAAGGAUUUGAAUGAAACUUUUUUACGCAAUUAGUAAUAAAUAUUUAAAUCGAUUUUACAUGGUUGCAAACCUCUACAAACGAAAGUUUUUUAGUAAAAAAUUAUUGAAAUGUUAGAUGUAGAAAAAUAUAAAUGACUAUAACUUCCAAAACUCCCAAAGGAUUCGAAUGAAACUUUUUUAUACAACUAAUAAUAAAUAUCUAAAUCGAUUUUACAUGGUUGCAAAUCUCUACAAACGAAAGUUUUUUGGUAAAAAAUUAUUGAAAUGUUAGAUGUAGAAAAAUAUAAACGGCUAUAACUCCCAAAACUCCCAAAGGAUUUGAAUGAAACUUUUCCCAGUUCGUGCGUAAAUGCAUUCCCCGUCGUGUAAUAAAACAAAAUUUUAAAAAAAAUUACACCAAAGUGCGCAAAGAAUUUUAUUGCUGGGCAGUUCAGUGGGUAAAAACUUAACUGCUUCUAACAACAUAUACAAAUUCCUGGAUGAAUUUCCAAAAGGAUCUUAACUGAGACCAGACACUGCUACAAACGGGGCCUAUGCAUCCUGGUAGCAAUCCAGCCAGUGGUUUUAACGUAAUUUUUGAUAGGACCUUUAUGGAAAAUAUUGACUGUUGUCUCCUGAAAGAGAGCGAUUACCUAAAGGGAAGACCCGGACUCCCUUUGUAGCACCUGACUGUAGUAUCGACGACUUAGAGCUACUAGCCCCGAUGGUUUAAUUCCAUACUACUAUUUGGCUGGACUUGGAUCUUGUAUUUCUACUCAGAAAUCACUAUCUUUGUAUUUGUUAUAUAAAAUAAACAAUUGGAAAAUUA